AAAAUCAACCAAUAGGAGAUCAGAUAUUCGCCACGUCAGACGCUCCGCGCGUGUCAUUUGGGCCUCGCAUUCUACAGGCCCGAUAGUGUUCGGAAUCGAAAAGUCUGUGUCUCUCUGAAGUCCCCUUUCUCCUUUGCACGAAGAACCAACCCUAAUUUAUCAAAAUGGAUCUUCGAUCCCCUUUCUCUUCCUCUUCUCUGUUUACUACGUUACACGAAUCUUUAUGGCUCGGAGGAGGAGCGGAGGGAGGCGGUUUCUAGUGUUUCUUGAUGCACGAUGGGCACGAGCAGCGACCCGAUCCAAGACGGUUCCGAUGAGCAGCAGAAACGAUCAGAGAUCUACACAUACGAAGCGCCAUGGCAGUCUACGCAAUGAACUGGAGCGUCCGCUGCGACAAAAAGUACCAUCUCGCCAUCACCAGCCUCCUCGAGCAGUACCCGAACCGAGUCGAAAUCGUCCAGCUCGACGAGUCUAAUGGCGAGAUCCGCUCCGAUCCCAACCUCGCCUUCGAGCACCCUUACCCUCACACAAAGACCAUCUUCAUCCCGGAUAAGGAAUGCCAGCGCCCCGAUCUCCUCGCCACCUCCAGCGACUUCCUCCACCUAUGGCGAAUCGCCGACGAUCACUCCCGCAUCGAGCUCAAGUCGUGCCUCAACAGCACUUUCUCGGUUUGGAAUGUACAAGGUUGAGCUUUUGUGCAAGACAGUUUCGGACACCAGGAUGAGAUCCUAGCCAUUGAUGCGCUGAGGAAGGAGCGUGCACUUACUCUUGGAAGAGAUAGAACCAUGCUAUUACACAAGAUGUCUGAGACCAGUCGUACGAUUUACCGUGCACCUGCAUCGUCUCUUGAGAGAUGCUGUUUCAUCAGUGAGACUGAGUACCUGUCUGGUUCGGACAGGAAUGCACUGUUGAAAAAGAAACCAGUGUUUCUCCUUAAGAAUGCACAUUCCGUUUUAGUUGGUGUAAUCACCACUAAUGGUAAUUGAAUCUUAACAUCAUUUAGUUGCAGAGAUCAUGAUGCUUUCUUCUUUUCCUAAACCAGAAAAUGGUGAUCAUGAUUGUGUGGAGUAUAGCAACUCUUCCACAACGAGUUCUUGGGUGAGUUCAGCUGCUGUGUGAAGAGGUAGUGACUUUGCCGCAUCUGGAGCUGGUAAUGGUUUUGUGCAUUUGAUGGUUGUUGAAGCAAGUGCCCUUUGGAUCUUUAUUCAAGCUUCCACUGAUAAAGUUUAUUUCCUUAAUGUUUUCUAAUAUUAUGUUGAUGCAUCUGUUGUUUCUGAGAGUGGUUAAGAGAAAAGCAUUUCACUUCACCAAGUAGUAAUCUCACAGUGCUUCUUUUAUCAUGUUAGAAGACUGGAUUUGUGAACUCUAUGGCAUUUGCAAAAUCUGGUAAAUUUUUGAUUGCUGGUGUUGGACAGAGACGAGAUUUGGAAGAUGGGGAUGCAUAAAAUCUGCACAGAAUGGUGUGGCAAUACAUCCCUUAAGGCUGUCAUAAGGAUUUAAUGAAGAGUUGGUACUUGUAUUUUUCUGAAUCUCAAGUUAUGUAAUGGCUUCUACUACAAGAAGUUUUGCUCCCUUUUUGUUUGUUUUAUUGUACCCUAUUUUUUUAUAAUACAAGAGUGAGAAGAACUUUAACUUU